UCAAUGGAAUGACUUUUGCUUCCCUAUAAAUUCAUUGCUAAAGCAACAGUUAAGCUGCAAAAAGACAUCAAUAAUAACAGUCAAUAGUUACUCUUGUGUUACAACAAAACUUGGAAGAGAAUGGCAAAGACAACAUUCCUUAAGAUUUUCUUGGUCUCGUUUUUGCUUAUUUUGUUAGGACAAGGAAGCCAUGUGGCAGGAUGCUCUACGGAUGGCGAUUGUGCUACCGUCGUGAAAUGCAUAGACACAAAACCCGUAUGUAACUUGACAACACAUAAGUGCGGAUGUCAAGGAAAACCUCCACAAGCUAAUUAUAAUGGACGUAAAAGAGUUCACAAGACAGAGCAAAACUAAUUUACUUUUGUUGUUGUGCAAAAUUAAACCAUGAUUUAUGUUUUUCCUUUUCAUUCAAUAAACGUCCGCUAUUGAUGUUGGAAAAGAA